rnacentral:rRNA from 1 species
AGCUAUGUGUUUUAAUACAUAGUUAUUUCUGCUCCAUGCUUAGUAAAUAGCCGCAGUACUCUGACUGUGCAAAGGUAGCAUAAUWAGUUGGCUUUUAAUUAGAGUCUGGUAUGAAUGAAAAUAUGGGUAGUAACUGUCUUAGCAUACUUAUUUGAAAUUACUAAACAAGUGCAAAUGCUUGUAAAUAAAUAAUAGACGAGAAGACCCUAGAAACUUGGAUUAGUUUUUGUUGGGGCGACAAAAUUACAGUGAACUAAUUUUAUAAUACAUGCCGCAAAGUUGAAAGAAUAAGUUACUCUAGGGAUAACAGCAUAAUUUUUUUAGUUUGUGACCUCGAUGUUGGACUAGGUACUACACCCUUAAGACAAGGGUGUAUUAUGCUCUGUUCGAGCARAUUUACCUACAU